UGCGCAUUCUAGUGGCAGUUGCCUUUAGUACUAUUGGACGAUAAUAGAUGGCCAAGUGUAGCAUCAAAACACAAAAAGUCAAGAAUCCGCCGUCGUUUUAUGUUUUCCAAGUUGGAACAAAUCUCCAAUGACUGUCGAUUGUUCUUUCAUAUUACCGAGGCCAUUGUAUUCAAAUUGAUAAGCAUUGCAUAGGCUGGAGGAUUGUUAGCGGCUCAGGGCAUAAGAAAAACCUUUGUAUUUCUUUACAACUGAAAUAAAAAAUGUUUAAUUGGAGCCACGGCAUACACAACACAUUAAUCGAAUAAAUCAGUCAUCGUCAAUCGAAAAAACCAAUUCCGGCCGUUCCGGCCAUCUCAUCAGUAGCUCCGUGGUUGGGGACUGUGUGCGUUAUUGACUUGGUUGGUGGACCAUACUGAUAAGUCACUGCUGCUGAUUUAACCGUCUUAACUCUUUUUAAGUGCUUAACUGCUGAUCACCAGCUGCAAUUUCCCCUCUCUUUAAGAAGCAAUAAAAUGCGAUAAAAGCUGCUAGGCUGGCUUUUUUUUUCAAGUUUCUUUUUUUUUUAAAUCGUUAAAUAUUCGGCUUCCUCGUCGGGUGCGAUGCAAAGUUUUUUAAAGACUAAACAACAAAGUCAUGGAAUUGAUUGAAAAAGUGCUGCCGUUGCGGCAGUUUAAGGUUUUUUCUUGAACCGCACCUAUCAUUGAUUCCCAACAUGACGACAGAGAAGAAGAAGAAGGGUUGGAAGAAAAAUAUGUUAAGAAAAGAACGAGAAAGAGUAAGAAUAAAGUAAAAGAAAGAAAUAAAGAGGAGGAAAAGUGGGAGAGGAUGAAGAAGAAGAAGAAUAAUCAAGAUGGCCGAGUUGUUCCUUGACAGAGAAGAUAUAUGCAGAGAGAGAAAGAAAAAAUGCCCGGAGGCUUCUUCUUCUUCUUUUAAAGUCGAAGGGGGGAAAAGGCCGUUCGAAUAAACCAGCAACAACUGCUGGGUAGGCGGGCAGCAGUGGCGUGUUUAUGGUAAUCGUUACACAUCCGAACAAGCCGAUAACAAGAACACAGAUGCUAAUUGUACUCCGGUUGCGAAAUAUAAUACCCAUGUUGUGUGAUUCAUUGUAAACCCGUUUGGUGGUGCUUUUUUUUCUUUUUGAAGAAAAAUAUAAAAGACUUAGACUACUACACUACUAUCAUGCCAUUAGACGAACUCGGGUAAAUGAGACACACACACAAGCCGCCCGCUCGACUUUUGUCUUUUUCUAUAUACGUGUUGAAUGAUAGAAUUUUUCAAGUUCUUUUCCAUAUCAUUAACAAUCACCGAGCUGGUUUUUCUUUUCUUCGUUUCCUUCAUUUCUUUCUUUUCGUUUCAUGUUGGCUCUUCCAUAUGUUCGUUCUGGUAUUUGAAAUGGUGGAAUGAUAGCGUUGCUGCGUAGCGCUCUUCUGCUGUGUCCUGGUCGUGUAGCCAAGGCCAAAUAUCCCGCUGAGAAGAUCAUUACGCUGCUACAUCUAUUGUACACCCUCCGAGCAACAAGCUCUCUCUCUCCUUGACUACUGAAACAUCAUUUCGAAAUAUAUAUAUAAGAUUA